rnacentral:lncRNA from 1 species
UAUAUAUAUAUAGAGUCCGGCUACUAUACUCUUAUGAGUACGAUCGUCUUCGUACUCAUAAAUUAUUUUCGGUGAUAGAGCUUCCGAAUUGACGAUCCAUACCGUUAAACACUAUCUAGAGCAUUUAAAACUUCUAGAAAUCAAAUUUUAUAAUUUUUUGAUAUCAUUUACCUUACGAUCAAAAGCUCACAAAAUUGACAAUUUUUAACGGCCGGUAUUAGAUAUUUGCUAGUUUAACGGUGAAAAAGAAUCGGAAUAGAUUAAAUUUUUGAUAAAAAAUUCUAUUCACUACCUAAAUAAAGAUCAAUAACUUUGAUCUUAAAUUGAAGGAUCCGAUCAUCCAUUUUUAGGAUGUCGUUCAAUUUUAACUGUUCAUUUUAUACCCGUUUGAUGGAGUUUAUAAUAAUUUUGAAAAAUUACGAAAUUUAUUUUAUAGAAGUUUCAAAUACUCUAGAUCAUGUUUAACGAUGUGGAUCGUCAAUUCGAAAAUCCCAAUAUCGAAAUUAACUUAUGAGUACGAAGGGCUCUACACUCAUAAGAAUAUAGUAGCCAUACUCUCUCUCUCUCUCUCUAUAUAUAUAUAUAUAAUGGUUGGUUGAAUAGUAUAAUCUGGCGGGUGAAAAUGAUUGAAGGGUAGAUCUAACGGUCAAAAAUUUAUGAGUACAAGAGGCUCUAUACUCAUAAGAGUAUAGUAGCCGGACUAUAUAUAUAUAUAUAUAUAGAGGGGCGCAACGAGGGCCAAGAAGAGAGAGACAGAGGAGAGACGAGAGAGCAGAGAGAGAGUGAGGCUAGAAUAACUAUUCGGAUAGUAAAACGAGCCGUUUUAGCUACCGUUUGUUUUCAAAUGAUAGAAACUUCCAGGAAAAUUGACGAAUCGGGCUCAUUUGAACAUCGAUGCUAUACCACUUGAAGUUUUAGAAUCAUUCAAAAUCUUUUCAACAUCAUCUUGCUAAAUGAUACAAAGCCGGUUCAAAUUUGUAAUUUUAAUGAUCCGAUAAGAGCGUUUCUCGUUUAAGCGCAUAUAAGAUAUUCACAAGAGUCAAUUGAUUUUAUAUAGAAAAAUAUCUUAAACUAUCUUAAAAGCAAGAUCUAAUACUCUUGAUCUUGUUACAAGACUCUAUCAUGGCAUUUUUUAAAGCGAGUAUCAUCUUUCACGUCAGUUUAUUUUCACUAGUUCACGCAGUUGAUCGAAUAAAAACACAUAUCGAAAGUCGGGCGCUCGAAAUUUGAUUUCUGAGGCUAAGUUUAAAUGGUUUAGAUCAUAUUCACGGAGGACCGAUCGUCAACUUGUGGAAGCUCUAUCAUCGAAAACAAAGAGUCAAAAACGAGCUCGUUUACUACGCGAUAGUAUUACUAUCUCAACUCAUAUAUAUCUAAUACUAGUAAUACCAUAUAUAAGCCUACGCGCUAGUGAUAUAUACGUCUCAUGUAUAAUCAAUACUAGACAGAAGGAGUUCGAACCGGGUACUGCAGCUAACGAGCGUCUUUAGUGAGUAUAGAGCCCUCUUGUACUCAAAGUAGGUCUUAUGACCGUAUUCACGAUUACCGUUUAACAUCAUUUUCAUUCGUGUAUAAUUAUCAAAUAUUUCUGGCCGAACCAAAACGCCAAAAUAAGCCCAUACAAGCACACCUGAAACCUCAGGUAGAGGGAGCGCCUAACUCUGGACAAACAAGCUUAGAGAGAAAAGACAGGGCAUCAAGCAAACCCACAUUUAACACUACAGCCGAAGUCAAACAGCGGACAUACAGUUUUUCAUACUAAACAAACAAGAAACUGACAACACAUUUAGAGUCACGACGGAGCAAAAGAAACGAGGGACUGCUGGACCAUACAUCAUUAAAUAUAAGACAGUACAGCGCCUGAUCUAAGCUAGCGUAUAUAUGAGUCCGGCUACUAUAGUCUUAUGAGUAUAGAACCUCUUAUACUUAUAAGUUUUUGACCGUUAGAUGUACCCUUUAAUCAUUUUCACCUGUUAAAUUAUACUAUUCAACCAACCACCCACUAAACCCUAGGGGGUCCACUAUCAAUCUAACCGUAACCACUUUCAUCCUAACCGUAUAUUUUUUCAUCUGAACGGCUGAAAACUUAUGAGUACAAAAAGCUCUAUACUCAUAUAAGUAUAGUAGCCCUAUGUCACGGGAUUAACGAAUUUGCUCGCAAAAUCGCG